rnacentral:antisense_RNA from 1 species
ACUUCACUGAUUUGUCACUGACUUCCUUACAAAGCUGUAUGAACAGCAGCAGGGUAAACAGAAUUGAUGCAAUUAUCUGAAAAAAUGCAGGGCAGAAAACAAAUCACAAUAU